CGCUCAACAAGAUCUUGCCCAAAUAAACAUCACAUGGGAAAAUGCUAAACAGACAGCACAAAACAGAGUUAGAUGGAAGGCUCUCGUAAAAACCCUAAGUUCCCGAGAGGAUUAAGAAGGAAUUAAAAAAAAAAUGGACGAGAUCCGGAACGGUUUCCUUGACAUGAUGACGUUGAUGAACAAUGCCAGCGGUUGCUGCCCAUGAACCUGGAUCGUCAAAGUGGACAAGCCGACCAAUUCUAAACCGACUAUUUGGUAAAAUAGAAACCACUCAGUAUUCACUCAAUCUUACUUUAUAACUAAAACAGUAAGUCUUCUUCGGUGCGCAUCCAAAGGAUAUGUACAAACAGAUGGUACUUGUGUGCUUUUCUAAUAUUAUGUUUAAAAUUAUGUUAAACUAAUAAUUAAAAGUCAAAUAACAUUAUAAA